rnacentral:rRNA from 1 species
UACGGAGGGGGCUAGCGUUGUUCGGAAUUACUGGGCGUAAAGCGCACGUAGGCGGCUUUGUAAGUCAGAGGUGAAAGCCCGGGGCUCGACCCCGGAACUGCCUUUAAGACUGCAUCGCUUGAAUCCAGGAGAGGUGAGUGGAAUUCCGAGUGUAGAGGUGAAAUUCGUAGAUAUUCGGAGGAACACCAGUGGCGAAGGCGGCUCGCUGGUCCGGUACUGACGCUGAGGUGCGAAAGCGUGGGGAGCAAACAGG